rnacentral:rRNA from 1 species
AGCGAACGCUGGCGGCAGGCUUAACACAUGCAAGUCGAGCGGGCAUCUUCGGAUGUCAGCGGCAGACGGGUGCGUAACACGUGGGAACGUACCCUUCGGUUCGGAACAACUCUGGGAAACUGGAGCUAAUACCGGAUACGCCCUUAUGGGGAAAGGUUUACUGCCGAAGGAUCGGCCCGCGUCUGAUUAGCUGGUUGGUGGGGUAACGGCCUACCAAGGCGACGAUCAGUAGCUGGUCUGAGAGGAUGAUCAGCCACACUGGGACUGAGACACGGCCCAGACUCCUACGGGAGGCAGCAGUGGGGAAUAUUGGACAAUGGGCGCAAGCCUGAUCCAGCCAUGCCGCGUGAGUGAUGAAGGCCUUAGGGUUGUAAAGCUCUUUUGUCCGGGACGAUAAUGACGGUACCGGAAGAAUAAGCCCCGGCUAACUUCGUG